rnacentral:rRNA from 1 species
UACAUGUGGGGCAAGCGUUGUUCGGAAUUACUGGGCAUAAAGGGUGCGUAGGUGGUUUGUUAAGUCAGGGGUGAAAUCCCGCGGCCCAACCGUGGAACCGCCUUUGAUACUGGCGAACUUGAGUGCGUGAGGGGUAGGGGGAACGAGCAGUGUAGCGGUGAAAUGCGUAGAUAUUGCUCGGAAGGCCAGAGCCGAAGGGGCCCUACUGGUGCGCAACUGACACUGAGGCACGAAAGCGUGGGGAGCAAACAGG